rnacentral:tRNA from 1 species
AGAAGUUUAGGUUAAACAUAAAACCAAGAGCCUUCAAAGCUCUAAACAUGGACACCACCCCAUAAUUUCUG